UCAUAACAACAACAGCAGCACCCACCACACCCGCUGCCACCACCCACAGCAGCCAGCUCACCAGCAAGGACAUCUCCCGGCACAGCCCAGGCCCAGGUAACACAGCUGCAGGGAGGCAGGGGCUCUCCCUGCACUGCUGAUUUCCUUGGAAGAGCAGGAAUUAAAGGCUGCACUGAAUGCAGGCAUUUGGGGAUAUGAGGACAACAGAACAUUUUCAUCUUUCUCAGAGAGCUGCCAGUGAGGGGAUGACACCACCGCAAGAGCUCAGAAUUUAUGAGGGUGCUGCUAAGAAAUUCUGAGCCCACAGACAGCAGGUUCCAUGGCUGGGCACCUCAGCAAAGCAAGCACACCUCACAUCAGAGUGUCAGGGCAUCACAGGUCAAAAUGGGCCCUGCAGAGUCUCCCUUGUGCUGGCCACAAGUUUACAUAUGGCUAUGCAGGGAUGGGAGAAGGCUGUCUUGACCUAUCUCACUGCAUCCAUCCAUUUUUCCAUCCACUCACAACAACAGCAGAACCCACCACACGCACUGUCACCACCCAGAGCAGCCACGGCACCAAGAAGGACAACUCACAACAGGGUGCAGAUCCAGGAACAAGCAACGAGAACACACUGAGUUCCUGCUGUAAAUUGAUCCUGUGGGUUAACCUGGCUUGUGCCUGCCUCCUGCUCCUCACUGCCAUAACCAUCACCAUCGUGCUCUGCCAAAGUAAGUCGCACCCUCACACCAAAGAGCACAGCCCGCUCCUCCAGGGGAAGGGGCUCUCUGCCUAUUGCCCUCACGCACCUAUUGCGUAUCCAGGACACAGGCAAUACAAAGGGACGGCUCUUAAAAUUCUUUUCUAGACUUUCCUCAUCUAUAGAUUCAGCUUGAAAAGUAUUUAUCCCAUACUACACUGUGAGACAAUAAUUGAAAACACAGAAACCUGAUUCUACCAGACUACACUGUCUCCACCAUCCUGAAAUACAUAUAUCAUGGCUGGAAGUAGCAAAACCCAAAGC
rnacentral:lncRNA from 1 species